GUACCUCAUGGCCCUUAUGGGUAGGGCUUCACACGUCAUACAAUGGUCGGUACAGAGGGUUGCCAACCCGCGAGGGGGAGCUAAUCCCACAAAGCCGAUCGUAGUCCGGAUCGCAGUCUGCAACUCGACUGCGUGAAGUCGGAAUCGCUAGUAAUCGUGGAUCAGCAUGUCACGGUGAAUACGUUCCCGGGUCUU
rnacentral:rRNA from 1 species